AACAUCUAAGUACCCCGAGGAAAAGAAAUCAACCGAGAUUCCGAAAGUAGCGGCGAGCGAAAUUGGACUAGCCCUUAAGCUUUACACGCGUUAGACGAACGGUCUGGAAAGUCCGACGAUACAGGGUGAUAGUCCCGUAGUUGACGACGUGUGUUCAGUGAAAUCGAGUAGGGCGGGACACGUGAUAUCCUGUCUGAAUAUGGGGGGACCAUCCUCCAAGGCUAAAUACUACUGACUGACCGAUAGUGAACCAGUACCGUGAGGGAAAGGCGAAAAGAACCCCUGUGAGGGGAGUGAAAUAGAACCUGAAACCGUGUACGUACAAGCAGUAGGAGCACCUUCGUGGUGUGACUGCGUACCUUUUGUAUAAUGGGUCAGCGACUUAUAUUCAGUGGCAAGGUUAACCAUCUAGGGGAGCCGUAGGGAAACCGAGUCUUAACUGGGCGUUCAGUCUCUGGAUAUAGACCCGAAACCAGGUGAUCUAGCCAUGGGCAGGUUGAAGGUUGAGUAACAUCAACUGGAGGACCGAACCGACUAAUGUUGAAAAAUUAGCGGAUGACUUGUGGCUAGGGGUGAAAGGCCAAUCAAACCUGGAGAUAGCUGGUUCUCCCCGAAAGCUAUUUAGGUAGCGCCUCGGACGAAUACUACUGGGGGUAGAGCACUGUUAAGGCUAGGGGGUCAUCCCGACUUACCAACCCUUUGCAAACUCCGAAUACCAGUAAGUACUAUCCGGGAGACACACGGCGGGUGCUAACGUCCGUCGUGGAGAGGGAAACAACCCAGACCGCCAGCUAAGGUCCCAAAUUACUACUAAGUGGGAAACGAUGUGGGAAGGCUCAGACAGCCAGGAUGUUGGCUUAGAAGCAGCCAUCAUUUAAAGAAAGCGUAAUAGCUCACUGGUCGAGUCGGCCUGCGCGGAAGAUGUAACGGGGCUAAGUAG
rnacentral:rRNA from 1 species